rnacentral:snRNA from 2 species
GUGCUCGCUUCAGCAGCAUAUAUACUAAAAUUGGAAUGAUACAGAGAUUAGCAUGGCCCCUGUGCAAGGGUGACACGCAAAUUCAUGAAGCAUUCCAUAUUUUU